ACAUUUUUAAGUCAUUUGAUCAUGAGUGGUUGCAAUUUUAGUGAGCCGAUUCCUACCUGGCUUGGUAACCUUACACAACUCACCAUCUUGAAUUUAUCAGCUAACAAUUUUGGUGGUCAGAUGCCGUCAUCCCUUUCAAAUCUCAAGGAACUCUCCUCCUUGGAUCUACGAGCCAAUAAUCUUAGUGGAACAUUACCAAUGUGGCUUGGGAACCUCACGAGACUUACUAAAAUUUUACUUGGAACUAACAGCUUCACUGGCCAACUCCCAUCAUCACUUUCAAACAUAAAGGAUCUCACUUUUGUUGGCCUUAGAUAUAACAACUUUGGAGGUAGGAUUCCUGAUUUUUUGACCAACCUCACAAAACUCACCUCAGUUUUCUUGUCUUUUAACCAACUCACUGGUCAAUUUGGUGAAUUUCAAUUUAGCAAUUCACUGGAGGUUCUAGCAUUGGAUAAUAACAGGUUCUAUGGCUCUAUUCCCAAGUCUAUCUCUAAUCUUACAAAUCUUAACUAUCUUGAUCUUUCAUCAAAUGACUUGACUAGCAUUGUGGACCUUGAUAUGUUCAAAAAUCUCAAAAAUCUUAAAACUGUUCUCUUUUCUUUUAAUCUACUACAUGGAAAGCUUCCUGCUGUACCAUCUUCCGUGAAUUCCUUUUUUAUGCAUAGAAAUAGAUUUAGUGGAGAGAUCCCAUAUACGGCUUGCAAUGCAACUUUCCUCACAAUCCUUGUGAUCAGUAAAAACAAUUUGCGAGGUACAAUCCCAUCAUGUUUGGGAAACAUCAGUAAUUUUCUCUCAGUAAUGGAUUUGCGAGGGAAUCACUUCCAUGGCACCAUUCCUGACACAUUUGCAAAAGGUAACAGGUUGAGAGCUCUUGGCUUGAAUGACAAUUACUUAGAAGGCACAUUACCAAAAUCUUUGGUCAACUGUAUAAAUUUGGAACUUCUAAACCUGGCAGAAAACAUGAUAAAUGAUUCAUUCCCUUAUUGGUUGGCAGCUCUUCCGAAGUUACAAGUUCUUAUCUUGAGGUCCAACAAAUUUUAUGGUCCCAUUGGAAACCAUAAGACUGGUGGGAUGUUUUUCCCUAAACUUCGGAUUCUUGACCUCUCUCACAAUGAUUUUAUUGGUAGUUUACCUACUCAAUUUUUUGAACAGUUGAAGGCUAUAAUGACAACCAAUGAAAGUGAAGAUGGUCCAAAAUAUAUAGGGGAAUACUCUUAAGUCUGGCUUUUCAGGGACGGAUCUUACAGAAAACUAUUUAGUAACGGUGUACCCAGACUCCAUCAUAAUAACAAUGAAGGGGAAUGAACUUGCCCUAAGUCAAAUCUUGACUAUCUUGACUAUCAUCGAUCUAUCAAGGAACAUGUUCUAUGGAAAAAUUCCAAAAACCCUUGGAACCUUGAAGUUUCUUCGAGUGCUCAACCUUUCCCAUAAUAGUCUAUCCAACCAUAUCCCAUCAUCAUUGGCAAAUUUGACAGCACUUGAAUCCUUAGAUCUCUCUUCAAAUAUGCUCACUGGAGAAAUUCCAAUGCAGUUAACAAGUCUAACAUUUUUGGCUGUGUUAAACCUUUCACAAAACCUGCUUACUGGACCUAUACCUCAAGAAAAACAAUUUGGUACAUUUCAAAACACCUCAUAUGAUGGGAACCCAGGACUGUGUGGAUUUCCCUUGUCAAUGAAAUGUAGCAGUGAUGAGUCACCACCACCAAGACCAUCAAUAAUCCAAGAAGACAAUGGUUCAAUGUUCGCAAUAGGAUUUGGUUGGAAGGCUGUGUUAAUUGGCUAUGGAUGUGGCUUGGUGUUUGGAUUAGCUGUGGGAUAUGUUGCUUUUAAAACAGAAAAACCUCAUUGGCUUGUAAGGUUUGUUGAAGGAGAACAAAAUGGAAAGACGAGAAGGCCUAAUAAUAAAAGACUUGGGCGAAGAAGAACUUAAUGCAUUCAAGGGUGGUCUUAGGUAAGUAGAAAGUGACGAAGACCCUAUUCUCUACUAGCAGUGAGAGAAGAUUGUGAGCCUUUAAAUUACAUCAGGGCAUUCGAAUGGUGGCUAAUGAGGGGUGGAACAUGCUUGAAUGAAUUAAGGUGCUAUUUUCUUCUUCUUAGGAUAGAUAUGUUCAACUUUUA